UGACCAUCGAGAGCGACCGAGAGACCCGGCUCAGCGACGUCGCAGCAACCCCCGCCAGUGGGUGUGGGUGCUACCGCCGGGAGCGAUGGUCG
rnacentral:ncRNA from 2 species